UGGAACAAUGGGGAUGCGCUUUUACGUAUUUAGUGACCUUUACAGAUUUAUUCCCCUCCUUCAGGACGGCGUGAAGACUGAAAGUGUAAGAAGAUGUGGAGGGAAACAGAGAAUCUGACAGGAGCGGCGAACGCACAAGUGCACGAAUUUUGCUUCUUGCUUGGAUUUAAACUCAGGAGUUGAAAGGAAUUUGUGAAUGAGAAGGGACAUUUCAGAAGGAGAAGAAGAAGUUGUUGUUACAGCCCUGACAAAAUCUUUUGUUCUAGCUAAUAAGUUAGUUUAAAUAAAGAAAAAAAA